ACCUGUAUAGCUACUGUUGCUUUUUGCAAAAUAUACUGUAGCUAGAUUUGCAAGUACUUGCAGUUAUUUUCUCUUUGUAUUUAUUCUGGUUGAAUAUAAUACAUACAUUAUUUUUUUUCCACUCUUCAAAAAAAAAAUUUUAAGAUAUUUAGAAUGGGAACUUACCUGCCUGCAGUAAAACAUACCCCAUUGGCAGAGCCAAUUGUAGAAAAGGCCACAAAGAGAGGUAUUAUCCAGGAGGCUGGAUAAAGGACUCUGUCUCCAAAUGUCUGGGAUAUGGGAUUAAAAUUAAUCAUUUUUGUUAUUUUAACUACUUUUUGAAAUAUUAAAAUGUUGGUGCCACUUCAAAAAUAGACUGUAUUUUUAUCAAUAAAAUGUGCAUUGUAUAUAUUCAGGAGCGUUUAGCCGAAUUAGAACUUGAAUUAAUUCAUGUAAGACUCUAUAAGGAAGAGUGGGAUAUUAUUGUCCUGGUGCUUUUGAUGCAGCGUGCGUAGGAAACACUGGGAGACAGAUGUGAAAAAUACACUGAAAUUCAAUUCAGUUUAACACUUGGUUUGGGGAUGUCUGCAAAACAAAACAGAAGAUGAUUGCUGCAGAGCACUGCACACAUACAGUCUAUAGAGAAAGAAUAAUAAUGGUAGUGAAGCUGUAACAUCUGAGGCAUUAUUAAGGGUGAAUAUGUGAAGGACAAACUUCGAAAGUUUACGGAGUAGGCCUGUGUCUUGUUACGCUGCUAGUUUCUACAAGAUGAAUUGGGACUAAUGUAGAUACAUUGGUCUGCUGUAGGAGAAUUUAAAUUUAGACUUGGACAGGAGGGAGAUUCUGAGUUUGUAUUUAACAGCUGAUUAACUUUUUAAAUAAGUCAAGAAUAAAGAGUUCCACUUCUGCUCAAGCUUAACAUCGGAGUAUAGUUGCUUUAUCCGGUAGCUGGGUACUCAUCAGUACAUAGAGAGAUGUGUUUAUACAGAGCACUCGUUUUGCUGUUUGCUGCGUUACUUUUGUACUGCCCAGUAGCAGUUGAUAUUUUCUUCAUCUUAUCACUACAUUGCUAGUUCUGUGCUAGCUUACAACAGGUUGUCAGCUUAGUGGUACCCCAGAGAGAAGUGGUUCUUUAUCAGCAUAAAACUUUGGGUUAGCUAGCGUACCUCUUAGUGGAGGAAUAACUAACAAAGAUAACUAAAUUGCGUCAGAAUUACGCAAUUUGCAAAAUGCAUAAAAUUUGCAAAAUUACAAAAUGCAAUCCUAUUAUUUAAAGGAUUUCCAUGUGAUUGUUGAGUAUUUUUUUAUGUUAAUGUACUUAAUUGUGUUACACUGCCUUCUGCAUGCAUAUGGGGUGCUCUUUGUUUUUAUGUAAAACUAACAGCAGGAACUUGCUACAGUGCAGGGAUCAGUGGUUUGGGAGACAGAUGCCCCCUGGAAAAUAUAAUGAGUGGAACUGGAGGGACAGAUGUGUUUAUAUAAAUUUCCAGAAUCUUAAGAAUAAUCUUUAAUGAAUUUUGGCAAUGGUAUGUCUUGUAGUAAUGAAAAAAUGAUUUCUCUUAAUCAUGUUAAGAUAAAACUAGAUCUAAUGAGGAAGUAAACUACAGCUGACUUCUACCUUCAGAAUGGUUGGUUUUAUUCAUUUUUACUGCAGAAGAAGCUUUACUGCACACAGCCUUCUUCAGAUACUUUUUUUACGAAGUAAGGAGACUUACCACAGCAACGGCCUGGGACUGCAGGAGUUCUGUUGAAGUCAUUACGGUGAAAUAUGAAAUGUUUAUCAGAACGUAACAAAUUGUAACCAAGGGGAUUCCAAUAAUUAUAGAUAGUGGUAGAUUUCUAAAGAAUGCAAAAGUAAGACUUCAUUAGCAUUGCUGUGUCAUUGUCAUUGUUACUGUAGUAAACUGGACUUUUUUUUUUCCCCAGAUAUUCUUCAGGUAUGUUUACGUCCCUUUACUGUAGAGCAACAGAAAUCAGGAUUAAAACAAGAAAUCGCAUUUAUGAAAGCCAGAAUAUGUGAUAGCUCUUUGUCUGCUAGUACUCCAACUUUGAGUAGCAUUCCUAUUGAUGUCAAGCCAAAAUGUCCUUGCUUGUACAAAAAUUGAGUUUUAAUUUUUAUUGCUAAGAAUAUAACUUUCUUAUGUAUUUUUUUUACCUGUAAGGAUUCUUCAGUUCUUCUGUGAUGUAAUUGAGUUGAUUCCUGAAAGUAAAGGUAUUAAUAAGAUGUUACUAGCAAUCAGAUGUUAUUUCUUGUUAGUUUGCCUUUCCAGUUAAAAAUAAUAAUAAUUAAAAAGAAUAGUUGAACUGCUGGUCCAAACAAAAAAAAUAUGAAUUUCUUAUCCAACUGUGAGCCUCGAGUAACUAACUUUUUCCUCCUUAAAGUUUUGAUGCAUCCUGCAAUUGCAGAAGUGCCUGUAUAAUUUUGAAUUGAGGUUGUCUUAGCUCCUGGGUAUAAUGUCCUGGAAUAACCAGAUAUUUCCUUUGAGCUUCAAGUUUGCAAUAUCUAAUCUUUUCAAGUAAAAGCACUAGUUCACUGUGCCCAUUGCAAGGACUCAAGUUUAAGUCUACUAAUUUUAACAAUAUCUCUUCAAGUUGUGAUGUAAACACCUUAAAUUGGAAUUUACAGAUCUAGAUGCACAUUUUCAGUAGACCACGGACAACAUUGAAACUUUUUUUACUCUUCUGUUUCUGAAAACAUGAGAAGAAAUUCAUAUUUAUAGCUUGCCAGGCAGCUUUUGAAAUUUCAGUCCCUGAUGGCUUUUGAAGUAAUUAUUCAGGAUUCAGGCUGCAGCUCCCCCCCCCCCCAAAAAAAACCAAAAAAAAAAAACAAAACCUCUAGAUAAAAAACUCUAGGUAAGUAUCUGAAACGCAGAUGUGCAUGCUUGAGUUGAGAGCCUCAAGCUUGGAAAGAGAACCUGAAAGAGCAAUCAAUUUAAAUUUGGUCUGAUAUUUUGUCUGAAUUUGAUUUCUUUUCCUGUAAGUAAAGAUUUAUAUUCUUAAUUCCUUUAAAAAUAUGUAUCUAUUUGCAAGACUUGACAGUCUGAAUGUUGAAGAAUAGCAUUAAUGGAUUGGAUCUCGAUCUUAGAUUUGUACCAGCAGAGCCUCAAACCAGUUUAUGUUCCUGUUAGUUCCAGGAAGUGAAAUGCAUAUUUUCUGGAUUGUACAGAGAUUAUCUAUAUUCCUCUAGUAAGUAAGUUUAUUCUGAUGAAAGUAAUAGUGGAAAGGUAGCCUUCUGAGUUAUUGAAUAUGGACGCUUCAUAUAGAACAUGAAUGUAAACCUAAAACCUUCCUUAUGUGAUUAUUUCAAACGUAUUUUCUUUGUACUAACACAAGAUAACAAAACAGAUGAGAUUUAAAACGGAAGCUUCUCAGGGAAGGAAGCUUUAUUGUUACUGUGUUAAUUCCAACUAACGAUCAAGAAGAAAAAAUGUAAAACCAUGCGAAUUAAAACUUCUAUUAUUUAUGUUCUCUUGUUCUAAUUGAAUGCUUCAUAAAGCAUGGACUUCAGGGGUAACCUGUAGAGCUUUUGCCUGAACUAAUGGAAUUAGCCGUUUUUGUGUCUCUCAUUACUAUGGUAUCUAACCACCUUUAGCACCAAAGCAGUAGCCCUUUCAGGAUCUACUAUAAAAUCUUUCCCUCUUAAUGGAUAUAUUUUUUUAACUGAGGAUACUAUUCUUUGUCCACAAUUUGUUAAGAGAUUUACUUAUGAAAAUCAGAUGUUAACUUGCAUCUUUUGAGUUCUACUGGGGUAGAGAGUUAAAGGCUGUUAAACUGUAACUGUUAACGCUUGUAAAGAUACCUUACCAUCCAUCAUAUGCCCAGAGUCCAUUAUAGAAUGCCAAACCAAUAGAGCUAACAGAAAUUUUACUGUCCUUGAAAGAAUCUUGGAAGUUUUGGGUUUUUCCUGGAAAUAAGACAAAUGUUAGUGACAAAAUGUUGCAAUCUGGCUAAUCACCACUAGAUGAAGAAAAACUCCAGUAUCUGCUGGGUCUUUUGAAACAUUUUGUUAAAAAUGAAUUCAUAGAAUUUUUAUGGACUUAGUGGUAGUAUUGAAAUUCUUACCGCAGUUCUUGUAAAAGAAAGUACUGUAGUUUCAAAGAGACUUUGGGACAGCAACACUGAAGAAAGAUAGCCUUAUUUUUGUGCCAUUUUUGUCAGUAGGAAGCUCUUAAAGAUCACAGCAGAAACUAAAAUAAUUGUUGGAAGUGAAUGUAUAUUUGAUUACCUUGUGCAAGGAGAACAAUCCCAGUUACAGCAAUGAUUGCCACAACUACCAUUUUGGCAGCUGUGAGUAAAUUCUGGAGGUAGCUUCCCAGCUUCACACUCAGAGAAUUCACUACUGUAAUUACCACUAAAAGAAAGAAAUUCAUACGUCUUGCAUUAAAUUUAUCUGAAAGAAAAGUAGGUUUAAGCAUUUUUUUCUAUGUAACUCAUACAAUUUAUAACAAAUGAUUGGUUGAUUUAAAUUAGUGAGGAGAAAGUUACUGAAUUAGAUAUCUACCUUUAACAGUAACAACAAAAUUAUGUACAUAGUAACUGCACUGCAUUGUGAUAAAUACAGAAAUACCUUCGCUAACAUUUUUUCUUUCUUUUCUGCUACAGAUGAGUGUUUGUUAUAUGGCUUUAUUUUUCUUGGUAAAGAAGAAACCUAGGCUAGAAGCAAACCAUCUACCUUGUGUAUUGAGUCAGUGAGUCCUUCCCACAAUUACUAUAUUGUUCCAAAAUUAAAAUAGUUAUUAGUACUUCAAAAAUAAUAAAAAUUAAACAUUGUUCCAUAGUUCUGUUCCUUUCAGUGUAGCAUUGCUUCCUGCCGUCCUCAUAAGGAUUAAUGUACUGAAUUCUUACUAUUCUGAAAUGGUUGAGGGUAAGCAGAAGUUGCUUGGCAAUUAGGGAAUUUGUCACUUAUAAAAUAACUAAGAAGUCUUACCAAUGGCAGCUGCUGCAAGGCACUUGAUGACUACUGGAGGUGGAUCACAACCUGGAUAAAAGGGAGCUGAUGCAUAUUCUGCAAAGCUGAGACAUAUGAUAGCGAAAGAACUGGGUUUUAUGACAAGCAAGCUUGCCCAAGAAAACAGAAAUGCUGGUAUUGGGCCAAAGGCCUCCAUAAGUGUUGCCAGAACUCCACAGGCUGCCCAGAUGGUUAAACAAGGACCCACAGCUCCAACAUUGGCAAGUACUGAUUUUGGGGAAACAAAGAUGCCUGAGCCAAUAAUUGUACCAACGAUCAUACAGAUUCCACUAAUCAGGCCCACCUUGAAAUAAAAGGAGACAUUUUGGUGAAGUAAUUUCCAAUAACUAGUUUUCAAUUUCAUACAACAAUAGUAAUUGACAUCAGUGAUUUGUUGUAGCUUUUGACAUGAAGUUUCAACUAACUAGUAAACUAUGGAAUUUCUUUUCUUCCAAGUACAUACAUGGGCUGUGGCAUGCCAGCUUGCAUAUUUGUUUUCAUAAACCAUCCUUUGAAUUAUGUGGGUCUCAAAAUUAACUUCGUAUGAGUUAGCAGUUCUCUUUUCUCUAUUUAAAUUAAGCAUCGCAUUUUGGUGAACACUUAGAAUUCUGAAUUUUUGUAGCUUCUAAGAUAUGCCUUCUUGGAGGACUUCUGCCCUUUUUCUUUAAGCAGUUGCUCUGCUCUCCUUGCUUCAGGUAUUUUUGUGCAGGGAAAGUACCUUAAUAUUGAUACAUGGUGAAAAGAUUACAUUCUCCAGACUUUGUAGCGACCUGCAUAUUAGAUGAAUGUAAUAAAACUUGAGGCUCAAAAGUCAAUAGCAUGGGCGUCUUAAAUUGUCCUUAUUAAGUUAUAGCUAGUCUAAUAGCAUCAGUAUUUUGCCAGUCCAGGUUCUUAGCACAUAAAUGAAGCUAUACAGAGUAUCAUUUUCCAGGUUGCUUAAACUGAAAGAUAAAUUACAGUUCCCUUUAGGAGUCUCAUCAGAGGUAAAAGAAGUGGCAUAUCCUUUCUGUUAAAGCAUCUGUCAUUUUCUGGAGAAGAAAAAUUACCAUUUGUCUUCCUGUACCAUUAGCUAUUGUACGGACAUAAACACUAGCACACUUGCAGAAGCUGUGAGCUGAACCCAGCUCUGUUCAGCCUCUGAGAAGUUUGUGUAGAAAGAAUUAGUAAAGUUGUGAUGUUAUGCUGAGCAAUUCUGAAGUAUAAAAUAUUAAACAAGUAAUUUUAAGACUUGAAAAUCAUAUAUUCUUUCUUUUAAUUGUGUUUAUAUCAGAGCUAUAUGCAUAGUAGUUAAUGAGUUCAUAAAAUGUAAUUCAACCACACCACGAAGAUCCUAGUAUGCUGUUGCAAAUAAGAGCAGUUUCAACUUCUGUAAGAGGAUACAUCGUCACACAUACAUUCUUACUGUCUCCCUGUGCCAGCCCUUCACAUGUGCAUGUUAAGGGAGUGGGUGUUGGCAUUUACCUGUUUUUUUAGGUUCAUAGAUUGGGGUUCCUGACUCUGAAUGGAUUGUCCAUCCUCCUUUCUGUUGUCCUGUUCUUUUCUUUUCCUCAAGCUUCCUUCACCCAUUUGAAGUACUUAUUUAAAUAUCUAAAUAAAGGAAAAAAAUCAGUGUAGUCUCUCUCCUUUGAAUGCCUCUAGGAGACCAGGCUGAUUGAAUCUUUCACUUAAAGCUAGCUUGUUUUCUUAUUGAAGAGUGAUAACUUCUGAUCUUUGUUAAAUUAGGCCUUUUCCUGAUUUCUUGGAGAUGCAAAUAUAUUAGACCAGAUGUCAUUUCCUGUAACUGUCUAAUUAGCAGCUCUUUGCUUCAGAAAGUGUUGCUGUUCUCUGUGUUGACUCAAGGUGAAUGUUUUCUACUGAACAUUGUAUUCCGUUUGGAAUUAGUCUGUAAACAAUUUGACUUUAAAAAGUUAAUUUUAGACUUGUGAAUGUAUCUUCUUGGGAAUUUGGCUUGUUUCACACAGUAUUGGAAUAAAAUCCAACCUGAAGUAGUGAUGGAAGUGGAGGUUAGGAUAGAUUAGUCCUGAUUGCCACUGUUGAUUCACUCAGUCUCC
rnacentral:lncRNA from 1 species